rnacentral:tRNA from 1 species
CUCGAAAUAACUCAGUUGGAAGAGCGUUAGAUUAUAGAUCGAAAGCUUCCUGGUUCGAUCCAGGGUUUCGGCA